GACAGAGGGUGCGAACGUUGUUCGGAAUUACUGGGCGUAAAGCGCAUGUAGGCGGCAGCGCAAGUCGGGCGUGAAAUCCCACGGCUCAACCGUGGAAGUGCACUCGAAACUGCGCAGCUAGAGUCCUGGAGAGGAAGGUGGAAUGCUUGGUGUAGAGGUGAAAUUCGUAGAUAUCAAGCGGAACACCGGUGGCGAAGGCGGCCUUCUGGGACAGUGACUGACGCUGAGAUGCGAAAAGCGUGGGGAGCAAACAGGG
rnacentral:rRNA from 1 species